rnacentral:rRNA from 1 species
UACGUAGGGAGCAAGCGUUGUCCGGAAUCAUUGGGCGUAAAGCGCGCGUAGGUGGCUCCAUAAGUCCGUUGUGAAAGUCAAAGGCUCAACCUUUGAAAGCCGAUGGAUACUGUGGAGCUAGAGUACGGAAGAGGCGAGUGGAAUUCCUGGUGUAGCGGUGGAAUGCGCAGAUAUCGGGAGGAACACCUGUGGCGAAAGCGGCGCACUGGACCACAACUGACGCUGAGGCGCGAAAGCUAGGGGAGCAAACAGG